CGCCUGUUUAACAAAAACAUGGUCUUUUGUUUAUAUAAAAGAUCUAACCUGCCCUAUGAUUUAUUUUAAAUGGCUGCAGUAUUUUGACUGUACAAAGGUAGCAUAAUCAUUUGUCUUUUAAUUGAAGGCUGGUAUGAAUGGUUGGAUGAAAAAUAUACUUUCUUUAUUUUAUAAAAAUAAAUUAACUUUUUAGUCAAAAGGCUAAGAUUUUAUUGUAGGACGAGAAGACCCUAUAGAACUUUAUUUUCUUUUUAUAUAACUUUUUUAGUUUUUAAUAAGUUUAUAUAUUUAUGUUAAUUAUGUUGGGGUGACAGAAAAAAUAAUAUAACUUUUUCUAUUUUUUUCAUUUAUGUAUGUGUUUUUGAUCCUAUAUUAUGGAUAAUAAGAUUAAGUUACCUUAGGGAUAACAGCGUUAUUUUCUUAAAGAGUUCUUAUCGAUAAGAAAGUUUGCGACCUCGAUGUUGGAUUAAAAUAAGUGAUAGGGGCAGAAUAUUAUUUACUAGGUCUGUUCGACCUUUAAAUUUUUACGUGAUCUGAGUUCAGACCGG
rnacentral:rRNA from 1 species